UGGUUGAUCCUGCCAGUAGUCAUAUGCUUGUCUCAAAGAUUAAGCCAUGCAUGUCUAAGUAUAAGCAAUCUAUACGGUGAAACUGCGAAUGGCUCAUUAAAUCAGUUAUCGUUUAUUUGAUAGUACCUUACUACUUGGAUAACCGUGGUAAUUCUAGAGCUAAUACAUGCUAAAAACCCCGACUUCGGAAGGGGUGUAUUUAUUAGAUAAAAAACCAAUGCCCUUCGGGGCUCCUUGGUGAUUCAUAAUAACUUAACGAAUCGCAUGGCCUUGUGCCGGCGAUGGUUCAUUCAAAUUUCUGCCCUAUCAACUUUCGAUGGUAGGAUAGUGGCCUACCAUGGUUUCAACGGGUAACGGGGAAUUAGGGUUCUAUUCCGGAGAGGGAGCCUGAGAAACGGCUACCACAUCCAAGGAAGGCAGCAGGCGCGCAAAUUACCCAAUCCCGACACGGGGAGGUAGUGACAAUAAAUACUGAUACAGGGCUCUUUUGGGUCUUGUAAUUGGAAUGAGUACAAUUUAAAUCCCUUAACGAGGAACAAUUGGAGGGCAAGUCUGGU
rnacentral:rRNA from 1 species